GCUCUUUCCAAGUAACGAUAACUUGGCUAUAUACACCGGGUACAAGUACCAAGUUGACGUGCAGAUGUAUGAGUGAUUAUGGCUAUGAACGGCGUAGAGAAGGGAACUGUCUACCAGCGUUCUGGUUCAACCCAGCUGUUGUAUCGAGGAGCUGCAGCCAAGGACAGAAGUACCUCAUCAGCACAGGGUACCAAAAAGUGGUGUCCCACAACUGCAGGGAGUCAAGGACAUGUACACACCCAGGAAGCAGAUGUGUCCCAACAGGGCUCCAAAAGGCCUUUCUCUCUCCACCAGAGAGGGCAAGCUUACCGCCGACCUGCACACCAACGUCACCUUCCUUUUGCAUCUGGAUGAGGUAGGGCUGAGCCAAAAGCCAAAAUGUCUCCUUUUUGGGCCUGUAGGAGCCCAAAUGGACACCUUUGUAUACAUUACUGUUAUGAGUUGCAUUGAUUUUUACCUUAAGCCAUGGAAUGUAAAACAAUGUGCUUUGUAUUGUUCUGCAUGGUUGUAAAAGUAGUACUAGCAUGUGGUGUAAAACUCACUCACUAGGCCUGUUACUGAGUGAAAUAUGGAUGUGUUUCCCAUGUUCGGCAUGUAUGUUUCUCCAGGCAUACGC